CCAGCCAUUCUCAGUGUAGAAGGAAUGGUGCAACCCUCCCUUAGUUCACCCAAACCUGCACCUGGCCAUCAGUAAAUGGAAAUGGAGUGUAUGCUAUUGUGCAGUAUCACCAACCUGGGAGGUUUGCAACAACCUUGAAAACUCUUAUGUUGCCCUUCUGCUGAGCCCUCCUCUGCUCAGGAGUGGCUGUUCUCAGUGACUGAUGCUCAGUUCUGGGUCUCCUAAGGAACCUUCAACAUGUUUUGUUCUGCCAGAAGAAGCGGGGACACAGGGCUGAGAGUGGACAUCAGAGAUGUGGAAACUUAGGAGAACCUCUAGCACUUCUGAAAAGAUCCUUGAAGGUGAAAACAUGCAACUUGCCUCACGUGCUGUUUGAGAAGAAAUAAAUACGUAUAUUUACUGUUGGUGGCACCUCAAUUGUGUGCAUCACUAGAGAGGAAGAUGGGAAGAUGCUUGGGAGUGUACCUGUCAUCACUGUCACCUGCCUUAAUUAACAGCAUGCUAAGAGCUACAAGACCCCUGAGAAGCUUGAUUGCACCACACAUUGAGGAAAGGACAGCUAAAAAUUUUUCUUUUUAAUAAAAAAUACUACUAAUGGGUCAACCAAAGAAAUAACUUUAGAUCUGGUCCUCAGUUCAGCAGGUUGAAUAAACAUCCUGCAUAAUUGGUGAAGGUGAUUUGCCAAAACAGCCAUUAUAAGAGAAAUAAAAUAAAAUAAAAUAAAAUAAAAUAAAAUAAAAUAAAAUAAAAUAAAAUAAAAUAAAAUAAAAUUAAAUUAAAUUAAAUUAAAUUAAAUUAAAUUAAUUUUUAAAAAAUCAAGUAUAUUACUUAUAAGAAUAAAUUGAAAAUAUAUGAUUUGAUUUGAUCAAGCUCAGUGUUUCUGGUUCAUUGUGAUUAUAGGGUCUGAUUUUCCAGCUUUAUACUCUUGAUUUAUGACAAAGGAUGAGGGAUACCAUUGAUUUCAGAGUUCCUGUUUUAAUGCUAUGGUAAAUUAUGGGUUGCAUCUCAUUACAUUUCUGAUUCCCAAAAUUAAAAGUGUGUUUGAGAAGCAGAGUAGGGGAGAGUGCAAAGGAGACAGAAGUAUGCUGAACUGCCCAGCUGUCUCUAGCAGGAGCUCUGUCUAAUGCUGGGAAGCAAUGCACUAUACCAGUGUUCCUACUUUUCUUUUUCAUUUGUGGAUGUUUGCCAGAGAUUACUAUCACACCACUUCUCAACAGAGCUGGAGGUCUAGUUUAUCAAAGUGUCAGUACAAAGACUAACACGAGGGAAAAUUUACUGCAAUAUGGCUGGAAUAUCAGCUCUGGUCUGACAGUUACAACAGAGAGUCAAAUCCAUCUCUGUAGCUAAAAGGUUUUCUAAAAUUUAUUGGGCAGGAAGGGACAGAUUUUACAGGUACUUAAGCCUUAAAUAGUUUACUGUGGAGUGUACUAUUAUAGUUUUAAAGCAUUUGCAUGUCUGGUACUGUUUUUUUACUGGGAAGUAGGCACACAGGCAUUUUGUAAAACCAUAGUGGUUUUUGUUUCCUGUGUUGCUGCACACCUAACAAAUAUACACAGAAAAUGUACAAAAUAUACGAUUUCUCAGUGGUGAAGUUUUCACAGGACAGGAGGUGCCACACCUCUCAGGAGGCUCCAAAAUUUGUCCUUAGAGCCUAUACUCACAGUCACAAGGGAAGUUCCAUCUGGGCUUACUAUAGUCCUCCACCCCUGUUCUCUUUUUCAGUGGUUCUAAUCAUCAAGGUAUUAUUCACAAAUAUUAUAGAUUUUUAAAUUACGAUGCAUAUAGCAAAUCUGAGUGUGCAUAGUCACUCUUUUUAGAAAUGGAGCUCAUUUAACAAUAUAGUCUGCACCAAUAUAUUGGGUAUUCCUA